GCUUACAAAAUUUGAGCUGGGAAGUCUCAAACGGAAGCUGUUGAAACUCAAGAACUGUGACUUUGAAUCGAAUAUAGCAAAGGGGUUUGUAGAUUUUCUAUAUAAACUAAACGCUUUAGUGCUAGAACGGGAAAGAGAGGUGCAAAUUCUACUGAAGAGCAUCGAAUCAAUGCGAUUAUACAGAGGGGCAUGUAUAUGUGUAUAUAUAAUUGGAUGCUAAUGAGGAUUUCAAACUGAACUGUAAAAUCGAAUGGAAUCGAAUCGAAUAACCAGAAACAGUGCUGGAGCGGGAAGAGAAUCAAGAUUACAGCCGCCCAUGGGUGAGAAUUUAUUACAGAGAUGUGGGUUUUGUUAGGGUUUAUCAAGAUUAGAGUUUGUU
rnacentral:lncRNA from 1 species